CUACGGGUCGCACCAGUGGGGAAUAUUGCACAAUGGAGGAAACUCUGAUGCAGCAACGCCGCGUGGAGGAUGACACUUUUCGGAGCGUAAACUCCUUUUAUCUAGGAAGAAGAUGACGGUACUAUAUGAAUAAGCGCCGGCUAACUCCGUGCCAGCAGCCGCGGUGAUACGGAGGGCGCAAGCGUUACUCGGAAUCACUGGGCGUAAAGAGCGUGUAGGCGGAUUAAAAAGUCAGAAGUGAAAUCCUAUAGCUUAACUAUAGAACUGCUUCUGAAACUCUUAAUCUAGAAUAUGGGAGAGGUAGAUGGAAUUUCUGGUGUAGGGGUAAAAUCCGUAGAGAUCAGAAGGAAUACCGAUUGCGAAGGCGAUCUACUAGAACAUUAUUGACGCUGAGACGCGAAAGCGUGGAGAGCAAACAGGAUUAGAUACCCUUGUAGUC
rnacentral:rRNA from 1 species